GGGGUUGUGGCUCAGUGGUAGAGCGCUCACCUAGCAUGUGUGAGGCCCUGGGUUCAAUCCCCAGCACCUCA
rnacentral:tRNA from 1 species